GUGGCGAUGGAUAUUCAAGGGAUGGUGACGUGGCGGUAGUGGGACACGUCAGCGGAAGUGAUGUGAGCCGCGGUGAUGCAUGGCACGUGAGGGCCAAUGGCUGAUUGUGUGCGAUGAGAAAAUGUGUGACGAGCUGGUCAAAGCUAGAAGAUGGUCUGAAAUUAUCGAAGAAUCAAUACCACUUGCCAAAUGUUAUAAAGGUGAAUUUCAUCUCGCCUCUUUUGCCAUCUUUUGCUUACGGCUGGGAUAGUUCUUGGCUUUUGGGGUGGUGUUGCUUUUGCCUCUUUGUUGCAUUCUUUGUUGACGGAAGGUGUGUUGAUCGUUAAAAUGACUUUUGCAUUAUUUUACA